rnacentral:rRNA from 1 species
AGAGUUUGAUCCUGGCUCAGGAUGAACGCUAGCGACAGGCUUAACACAUGCAAGUCGAGGGGCAGCAUAAAAGUAGCAAUACUUUGGUGGCGACCGGCGCACGGGUGAGUAACGCGUAUGCAACCUACCUAUCAGAGGGGAAUAACCCGGCGAAAGUCGGACUAAUACCGCAUAAAACAGGGACACCGCAUGGUGAUAUUUGUUAAAGAAAUUCGCUGAUAGAUGGGCAUGCGUUCCAUUAGGUAGUUGGUGAGGUAACGGCUCACCAAGCCGACGAUGGAUAGGGGAACUGAGAGGUUGGUCCCCCACACUGGUACUGAGACACGGACCAGACUCCUACGGGAGGCAGCAGUGAGGAAUAUUGGUCAAUGGGCGAGAGCCUGAACCAGCCAAGUCGCGUGAAGGAAGAAGGAUCUAUGGUUCGUAAACUUCUUUUGCAGGGGAAUAAAGUGCAGGACGUGUCCUGUUUUGUAUGUACCCUGAGAAUAAGGAUCGGCUAACUCCGUGCCAGCAGCCGCGGUAAUACGGAGGAUCCGAGCGUUAUCCGGAUUUAUUGGGUUUAAAGGGUGCGUAGGUGGUUUGAUAAGUCAGCGGUGAAAGUUUGCAGCUUAACUGUAAAAAUGCCGUUGAAACUGUCGGACUUGAGUGUAAAUGAGGUAGGCGGAAUGCGUGGUGUAGCGGUGAAAUGCUUAGAUAUCAC